AGAGCGAACGCUGGCGGCAGGCCUAACACAUGCAAGUCGAGCGCCCGUAGCAAUACGGGAGCGGCAGACGGGAUAGUAACACGUGGGAACGCGCCCUUCGGUUCGGAAUAACUCAGGGAAACUUGAGCUAAUACCGAAUACGCCCUUACGGGGAAAGAUUUAUUGCCGAAGGAACGGCCCGCGUCCGAUUAGCUAGUUGGUGAGGUAAUGGCUCACCAAGGCUACGAUCGGUAGCUGGUCUGAGAGGAUGACCAGCAUCACUGGGACUGAGACACGGCCCAGACUCCUACGGGAGGCAGCAGUGGGGAAUAUUGGACAAUGGGCGAAAGCCUGAUCCAGCCAUGCCGCGUGGAUGAUGAAGGCCCUAGGGUUGUAAAGCUCUUUGUGCGGGAAGAUAAUGACGGUACCGCAAGAAUAAGCCCGGCUAACUUCGUGCCAGCAGCCGC
rnacentral:rRNA from 1 species